rnacentral:ribozyme from 1 species
CGCCCAGCAACUCCUAUCUCUACCUCCUCGCGGUACUGGCUGGGGUACGAGCAACCUUUGUUCGCGCUUACGCAAACCUGGAGCG